CUUCUAAGGAAGAUAUUCUUUUGGUGGGUACUGCCUUCAUAUAUUCUCCAUGCUUUGCCUCAUUGAAGCGUCUAAAGCCAACAAAUCCAGAUCGUUGUGAUCAAUCUAGUUGACCGAGGAUCUUGUCUGAUACUUCUGAAGAGGACAACAAAGGCAACUGAAGAAGACUGAUGCAUGAGUAUUCCUGAUAUAGCAUUCUAGACUUGCUGGUCCAAACUAUUUUGAAGGCGCACCUUCAUUUUUAUGAAGACAUUGAAUUAUCAUCUAAUUAUACUAUAUUUGUUUGAACUUUUUUGAUAUUAUGCAUUUUUAUAUAUCCAAGACCCGUUGAGAUUGGACUCUGUUAAUGUAA